rnacentral:lncRNA from 1 species
GAAAAAUCUAAGAUUUGGUGGAUGUCAAAGCCCAGGGGCACAGGCUCAAUAAAAACUCAACAUAAUUCAUAGGAUUACAGAAGUUUCCCCUUCCCCAACUCUCUGCCAUUCAUAAAACCACAUCACUAAAACCUAUUUACCAGAGUUCAGACAAAGCACCAGAACAAGACUGAGAUAUGGCAAAGAGGAUGAAAUAUCAGACUAUAAUAAAACAACUGUGACUAAUAUGCUAAGGGCUCUAAUGGAAAAUAGAGGCAGCAUGCACAAACAGAUAAUGUGAGCACAGAGAUGGAGAUUCUAGAAAAUAAUUUGUUAAAUUCUACAGAUAAAACACACUGUAAUGGAAAAAAAAAUGUCUUUGACAGGCUCAUUACUAGACUAAACACAGCUGAGGAAAGAAUCUGUGAGCUUCUGGAUAAGUUAAUAGAAUUGUUAUAAUCUGGAAAGAGAAAACUGACUGAAACAAUGGAACUGAAUAUCCAAGAACUAUGAGAUAACUACAGCAAUUGUAACAUAUCUGUAAGAGCAAUACCAGAAAGAGAAGGAAGGGAAUGAAGCAGAAGCAAUAUCUGGAGCAAUGAUGACUGAGAAUACCACCCUCCAAUUAAUAUCCAACCAAACCACAGAACCAUGAAGCACACAGAACACCAGCAACAUAAAGGCCUCCCAAAACCUAUAUGUAGGCAUAUCAUAUUCAAACUACAGAAAAUCAAACAUAAAGAAACAAGAGGAAGGGACUGGGAUUGUGGCUCAGUGGUAGAGCAUUCGCCUAGCAUGGGCGGGACCCGGGUUCAAUCCUCAGCACCACGUAAAAAUAAAGGCAUUGUAUUGUGUCCAUCUGUACCUAAAAAAUAAAUAUUAAAAAAAAGAAGCAAGAGGAAGAACAAAACCUUGACAAUAACAAAUAUAAGAAUUAUAAAUGACCCCUCUCUGGCAUUAUGUCCCAAAUAUCUUAUUCACAAGAAAUUCUCUUUAAAUACAAAGGCACGUAUAGUUUAAAAGUAUACAGAUGGAGAAGGUUAUACCAUGAUGACAUUAAUCAAAAGAAAGCUGAAAUAGCUACAUUACUUUCAGACAGAAAAUGCUUCAAAGCAAUGAAAUUUUCUGGGAUUUAAAAAGGGGCAGUGCUUGAUUUUAAAGGGAUUAACUCUCCAAGACGAUAUAACAAUCCUUAAUAGGUAUGCAUGUAAGUGCAGAGUAUCUGGAAUACACCAGGUAAAAACUGAUAACCACCUCAAGGAGAAAUCGCUGAAACAUUAUUGGAGGGUUCUGCAGAGGACAAAUCCAGAAGGCAGAAAAUCAGAGAGCACACAGUUGUGUUGGUACCAUCCAACAUGUUGAUAUAAUUGACAUGCAUAAAUUACUUUAUGCAACAAGUGCAGAAUAUACAUUCUUCCCAAGUUCCCAUGGAACGUUCACCAAGACAGACCAUGGGGGGGGGGGGGGCCGCACAUAAAGCAAUUCAAGACUAUAAAUCAUACAUUUUCUCUCAGACCCAUGAAAUUAAACCAGAAAUCAAUAGCAGAAAAUCAACCACAAAAUCUCAAAAUACUUUAGAGAUUAAACAAUGCACUUCUGAAUAAAACCCGGAUCCGGGCUGCGGCAGGCGGGAGCUGCGUGCUCCGCGUGCACAGGUGGAGAAGCAGCUGCACCAGUGUGGCAGCAGGAGACUGAAGGCUGUGCUGGACUUCCGCGGCCUCUGUCAUCCCUGCAGCUCUCUUCCCUAAGCGACGGCCAGCUCGUGGGGUUGAGUGGCCUGGGCUGAGCUUGUGGAGAGAUGAGGCAGCGAGAACCACCGGCUUUGAUAGCCCUAGUAACCAGCGUUAGCAGAUGCGGGAAGAUGAAAAGUAAUGGGAUGGAGCUAGGGGAUGGAACACCACGCCAUUUUGAACAGCUGAAGAGGUCAUCUUUCCAGUUAGCCACAAUGACAAGUUCUACAAGGAUGAGCUGGAGGUCGAAGAACUAGCAAAACUUGCCUGUUUCAAUGAUAUUGCUGUAGGUGCAGUAUGCUGCAGGGUGGAUCAUUCUCAGAAUCAGAAGGGACUUAACAUCAUAACACUAGAAUGUCUUGCACCUUAUUAAAGACUGGGAAUAGGAACUAAAAUAUUAAACCAUGUCUUAAACAUCUGAGGAAAAGAGGCAUUUUUGACAACAUCUAUCUGCACAUCCAAAUGAGCAAUGAGUCAGAAAUUGACUUCCAGGGGGAAGUUUGGCUUUGAGAUUAUUGAGACAGAAGAAAUUCUAUAAGAGGAUAGAACUUGCAGAUGCUCAUGUGCUUCAGAAAAACUUCAAACCUUCUGGUCAGAAUGCAGAUGCACAAAAAACUUAACAAAUUACAAAUGAACUUUUUUGCUGCCAAAUAAAAGAGAUCCAUUGAUGCCCUGCCCACACCCCCUUCCUAAGCUUUCCUUUCUCCUUGCUCUUGUUUUUCCUUUCUUUUCUUUCCAACAGAAGUUUUAAUACUUUCAGAGACUUUUAGGACUGAGGAUAUAGAUCAGUUGGUAGAGUGCUUGCCCUGCAUGCAUAAGUUCCUGGGUUCAAUCCCCAGCACCACAAAAGAAAAAAGGAAAUAAAUGUGUUGUGAUUUUUUUUUCCUCCUAUUCUUUUCCUUUGGUAAGCUUAAUAAUCUAAACUUAAAAAUGGAGUUAAUGUUCUUUUAAGUCAGUACCGCUAAAUCAACGUAUAACAGGUGUUUUCUCUUAGAAUAUUUAAAAAUAUCUAAAAGAAAAUUUAGAUGGACUUGUAGCACAAUAUAUGCAUUUAAUGUCAACUAAUGCAGUAUGGCCACUGAACAUUUCAGUGUAUAGGAAAGAAUAUCUAGAUAGUAUAUUCGAGAAUAACAUGACUAUGUUAUUGCUUAUCUAUUUCAGAACAUCCUAAAUUUUCUUAUACUCUGUGCCUACAAUAUUAAGUGAGGAUUUGGGAUAAAAGGAAUUGUUUUUUUUAAUUGAUUUUAUUUUUUUAAAUACAUGACAGCAGAAUGUAUUACAAUUCUUAUUACACAUAUAGAGCACAAUUUUUCAUAUCUCUGUUUGUAUAUAAAGUAGGGUGACACCCAAUUUGAAGGAGGAAUUAUUACAACAAAUUGCUUCUAGGAAAGACAGAAGCAUAAAGUGUUAAUUAUGCAAAUAUCAUCAUGACUUCUACUAAUAAGAAUGGUUUUUGUCUGAUCAUUUUCCAGCAUGUAGGGAGUAGCUUAAUAGGAUAAGAGACAUCUAAAAUACUCCUGUUUUCAAAAUCAAGCUUAAAAUGGAUCAAGGACCUAGGUAUUAGACCAGAAACCAUGCACAUACCAGAAGAAAAGGUAGUCACGACCCUCUAGCAUUCCAGCUCAUGAACUGACUUCCUUAAUAAGACUCCUAAAGCCCAAGAACUAAAAUCAAGAAUCAGAGGCUGGGUUGUAGCUUAGCAGUAGAGUGCUUGAUCCUCAGCACCACAUAAAAAUAAAUAAUUAAAAUAAAGAUAUUGUGUCUAACUACAACUAAAAAAAAAAGUCAAUAAAUGGGAUGGCAUCAAACUAAAAAACAUCUUCACAGCAAAGAAAAAAAUCAACAGCAUGAAGAAAGAGCCUAUUGAAUGGGAGAACAUCAUUGUCACCUGCAUCUCAGAUGAGCAUUAAUUUCCAGGCUAUAUAAAGAAGUCAAAAAACAUUAAAAAAAAAAUUCAAUAAACAAAUGGGCAAAGGAACUGAACAGACACUUCACAGAAGAAAUAUGAAUGGUCAAAAAAUAUAUGAAAAAAUGUUCAACUUUUCUAGCAAUUAGAGAAAUGCAAAUUAAAAUUACACUGAGAAUCUACCUCACUCCAAUCAGAAUGGCAACUAUAAGGAAUUCAAGUAAUGAUAAAUGUUGGCGAGGAUGUGGGGGGAAAGGUACACUCAUGCAUUGCUGGUGGGACUGCAAGUUGAUGCAACCACUCUGGAAUUUUCUGAGAUUCCUCAGAAAACUUGGAAUGGAACCACCAUUUACCCUAGUUAUCCCACUCCUGUAUAUACCCAAAGGAUUUAAAAUCAGCAUACUACAGUGAUACAGCCACAUCAAUGUUUAUAGCACCACUCACAAUAACUAAGCUAUUUAUAGCUCAACUCACAAUAGCUAAGCCAUGAAACAAACCUAGGUGGCCUUCAACAGAUGAAUGGAUAAUGUAUAUAUACACAAUAUAGUAUUACUCAGCCAUAAGAAUAAUGAUCUUAUGACAUUAGCUGGCAAGUGGAUGGAACUGGAGAUUCCCAUGCUGAGUGAAGUAAGCCAGUCCCAAAAAAAACCAAAGGUCAAAUGUUUUCUCUGAUAUGUGGAAGCUAACCCACAAUAAGGAGGCUGGUGAGGGGAAGGGAAGAACAGACAACAACAACAACAAAAAAAAAAAAAUGGUGGAGCCCUAAACCAAUAAGACAGGUGCUUUAUAAGAGUAGGAAAAAAAAAGAUAUCUUCCUCUCCUCUCUCCCUCCCCUUUAUCCUCUCUCUUUCCCCCUCCCCUUCCAUUGACACAAGACCAGACAAAAACAUAGUGAGAAGGUCCAUCUACUGUUGAGGAAGAAAGCCCUGGCCAGAAAGCAAACCAACCAGAACCUUGAUCUUGGACUUUCCUUCUCCAGAACUCUGAAAAAAUAUAUAUAUUUUGUUUGUUUGUUUGUUUGAGCUACCCAGUCUGUGGUCUUUUGUUAUAGCAGUCUAGGCAAACUAAGAUGGAUUUUGGAACCAGUGUGGAAUGUUAUUUUACCACAUGCCAAAAUUGUAGAUGAGACUUUGGAACUGGGUUGAGGCUGGAAGAAUUUGCAGUACAUACUAGAAAAGCUGAGAUUGGCUUGAAGGUGUUGUUGGUAGUAAUAUAGAUGCUUAAGACAGUUCUGGUGAAGGUCCAAGAAGACAAGAGGAAAGCUAUAGGCAAAGCCUCUAUCAUCAUAUGUAAUCAUGAGCAAAAGAUCGAUUUAAAAACGGACAUCACAGACCAUUGUGAUAAGGUCUCAGAUGAACAUGUGGAAUAUUUUAUUGUAAAUGGAGGAGAAGGGAUCCUUACAAUAAAUUCUGCAAGCCAAGAAAAAAGAGUAUUACGGAGAAGCAAAUCAUCCUGCCCCUUGAUCUAGGGCCAUGAACUUCCAGAAGUGUGAUAAAAAAUAAAAUUAAAUUAAAAUUAAAAAAGAAUUUUUGUUAUCUAAACCAUUCAUUCUACUGAGUUUUGUUAUGGCAACCUGGAGAAGUCAAUCGGUUUCGCCACGGCUCCAGGUUACAAAGUCUCUAAUGAGGCCAUGAAGCCCGGAACCUUCUUCCUGCUGCCCUCGGGGAUGCUGGUUCUGACCAGGACCUGGCGAGUUGAGUGCGGAGUCAGGAGGGAAAUGAUCUCUUCUCAAGAGGAAUGAAGGGACCACUCUGCAGAGUAGGACAGUGUCUCAGCCACCUCCGGCCCAGUCCUCUCCUCUACCUCGUCAACUCCUUGUUCUGAGCCCAGCCCCGCCUCCUCUUCUCCAGUCUCAGAGUCUGGCCCUUCUGAUCUCAUUGCCCCUUUCAGUCUCAGGAGCGCCCAUGCCUCCUCCUGCUCUCCCACCAACCUGGGACUCGGGGUCCCGCUACCUACGGGAGGACGGAGGACCAUCGGGAGGAUCGGGAGGAUCGAGGACCAUGGUGACAGGUCUCAGCCCCUCCCCGCCCCCAAGCUCCCGCCCGCUGAGGUAUUUCUGCACCGCCAUGACCCCACCUGGUCGCAGGGAGCCCGGUUUCAGGGCUUUCCGCUACUUGGAUGACCCACAAUGACUUGCGAGUCCCAGAGAGGUGCCCGCGGACCAAGCGGAAGGGCCAGAAUAUUGGGACCGGCAGACCCAAUGCACAAAUUUUGUGAGUGAAUUUGCGGGCCUUUCUGACGCCGGUGAGUGAUCCCGGACCCAGAUCAUAAGUCACAACCUGUCCCCAUCCUCCGUUAAGUGGCCUGGACCUCCCAAUCUUAGGAACGACCCAAGUCUGUGAGAUUUGUUCGGAUUUCCAGUCGGUUUGGCGCGAAAGGCCCUAACCAGUCAUCGCCCAUCUUUCUUCCAGGGGGCGGGGCUAAGUGUGAGGGACCCCCCCCCCCCAGACCAGUGCAGCUGAUUGCUAGAUCCUGGCUAGGGUUCCACACCAUCCGGUCUAUGCUUGGCUGCUACACCCCAGCGGUACUUACAAGACUGCCUACAAUGGCACCGAUUAUAUCUCCCUGAACAAGGACCUGCGCUCCUGGACUGAAGCAAACAAUGUGGCUCUGAUCACCCAGCACAAAGAUAAAGGGCCUAUCUAGAAGUUACAGGCAUGGAGGGGCUCUACCUGAACGACAGGAAGGAGAUGCUAUGUGUACAGGUACUAGGGGCAGCAGGUCACCUCCUGGAUCUCUUUGCUGACCUCUCACAAGGAGUGAAAAAUGGAACCUAUGCUACUAUACCGCCCACCCUCUGGUUCACACUAGAUGAGUUCGCCUGAGUUUCUGAAUGCUGUAUCAGAGAGCUACUCUGAGGGCCCAACUUUCUCUGAGAAUUAAUGGAGGCAGUCUCCCUUUUCAGGGUUGGAGGGGAAGACAAUCCCUGAGAUAACUGAUCAGCAGUUCCCUUUAAUUCUGGCAGCAAACGGGAUCAUGGGGUGGAGGCAAUCCCAAAUGCUUUUGUUUUGUACCAGGAAUCGAACUCAGGGGCACUCAACCACUGAGCCACAUCCCCAGCCCUAUUUUGUAUUUUAUUUAGAGACAGGGUCUCC